UUAGCGGCGGACGGGUGAGUAACACGUGGAUAACCUACCUAUAAGACUGGGAUAACUUCGGGAAACCGGAGCUAAUACCGGAUAAUAUUUUGAACCGCAUGGUUCAAAAGUGAAAGACGGUCUUGCUGUCACUUAUAGAUGGAUCCGCGCUGCAUUAGCUAGUUGGUAAGGUAACGGCUUACCAAGGCAACGAUGCAUAGCCGACCUGAGAGGGUGAUCGGCCACACUGGAACUGAGACACGGUCCAGACUCCUACGGGAGGCAGCAGUAGGGAAUCUUCCGCAAUGGGCGAAAGCCUGACGGAGCAACGCCGCGUGAGUGAUGAAGGUCUUCGGAUCGUAAAACUCUGUUAUUAGGGAAGAACAUAUGUGUAAGUAACUGUGCACAUCUUGACGGUACCUAAUCAGAAAGCCACGGCUAACUACGUGCCAGCAGCCGCGGUAAUACGUAGGUGGCAAGCGUUAUCCG
rnacentral:rRNA from 1 species